AUUGAACGCUGGCGGCAGGCCUAACACAUGCAAGUCGAGCGGAUGAAGGGGGCUUGCUCCUGGAGUCAGCGGCGGACGGGUGAGUAAUGCCUAGGAAUCUGCCUGGUCGUGGGGGAUAACGUCCGGAAACGGGCGCUAAUACCGCAUACGUCCUGAGGGAGAAAGUGGGGGAUCUUCGGACCUCACGCUAUCAGAUGAGCCUAGGUCGGAUUAGCUAGUUGGUGGGGUAAAGGCCUACCAAGGCGACGAUCCGUAACUGGUCUGAGAGGAUGAUCAGUCACACUGGAACUGAGACACGGUCCAGACUCCUACGGGAGGCAGCAGUGGGGAAUAUUGGACAAUGGGCGAAAGCCUGAUCCAGCCAUGCCGCGUGUGUGAAGAAGGUCUUCGGAUUGUAAAGCACUUUAAGUUGGGAGGAAGGGCAGUUAGUUAAUACCUUGCUGUUUUGACGUUACCAAAAGAAUAAGCACCGGCUAACUUCGUG
rnacentral:rRNA from 1 species